rnacentral:tRNA from 1 species
GGUGCUGUGGCUUAGUUGGUUAAGUGCCUGUCUAGUAAACAGGAGAUCCUGGGUUCGAAUCCCAGCAGCACCU